GUGGCUGUGGCUCAGUGGUAGUGCACUUGCCUGGCAUGUGUGAGGCACUGAGUUCAAUUCUCAGCACCACA
rnacentral:tRNA from 1 species